CGCAUUGCUACAUAGUACGGGCAUUGUGGCGCCUUAGUUUAAUUUCUUUAUACACUGGCUAUUUUGUGAGAUUGAGGUCUUAUUAGCCUAUAAUCCGAGCUCUUUUGAGAGGUCAGAUUCAGAUUUUUUAUUCCAGCACCCUCUUGAGGUCUGCAUGGCGCUUUUGGCUGUCGUAUGAGAUUAAAGUCUCUUUAUCUUAUGACCCGAACUCCUUUGGGAGGUCGGAUUUUAACUUUUCAUUUGUGGUCCAAUGCCCCAAUAUUUUAUGUAGGUUGGAAC
rnacentral:lncRNA from 1 species